AGCUGCGCCGAUGGUAGUGUGGCCUAAGCCAUGCGAGAGUAGGUCAUCGCCAGGG
rnacentral:rRNA from 1 species